GAAACUAAAUCCAGAAUUAAGUAGCAAUACACCUAAAGCACUCAGUCGAGCAGCAGCAAAGAGGCCCUGUACUGGAACUUGAAAUAAUGUUGGAAAAGAAAUGAGGUCAAAGGUCUGCUAGUCUAUCAUGCUGACUUGCAUCUGGAGUUCCCAUGAGCAUCAUGGGCAUCUGAAAGGAUUUUCUAACUUUACACUACUGUCUGCUCCCACUUCCUGAGAUUUGGAUGAAAGUACCAUGCCAAAUGGGGAAAGGCUAGAAUGCUGGGAAGGCCCUGCUCCUAACAAAAGGAAUGAAUUGGUGCUCUCUGCUUGGAACCAUGUAAGAAGACGUGGCCCUUUAACCCACUUCCGGAAAUCUAGCUCAUAGACAUUAAAGCCAGUAUACAAGAGUACAUGAAUGAAGAUGCUUACCACAGCAAUAUUUAGAAACACAAGGAAACUGGAAUUAAUCCAAAUAUACAUCAAUAGGAAAAGGAUGGAAUAAAGUUUAAUAUACUAAUACUGUAAAAUAAUAGGCUAUAAAAAAGAGUUUUAUCUGUUUCAAUCAGGAAAGAUUUUCAUAAUAUGUUCACUGAGAAAAGAAAACUGCGUAAUAAUAUACUUAAUGUGACCAUGUUUUAUGAAAGGAACAAUACUAUCACCACAAAUCAGUAUAUGUAAUAUGAAUAUAGGCAUAGAUAAAAAACAUAGGAAAACACACAAAAAAUUUUUAACUAAUUCUAGUGUCCUUAAAAGAGAAUUAGAAAGAUGUGUAUUCUUUACAGAUAUGUUUUCUUCAUACUGUUCUAUGUUGUUUAAAGUGUUACUUUUGAAAUAAAAAGCACAUACUUUUUUUUAAGAUUGAAUUUGUCUGCCUCAGGACAUUUGUGAAUGGUGAGCUAAUUCAAUCUCAAGCAAUUGUUUAGCCCCUUAUUUACUUGGUGUCAGUUUUAGAAAUUGUACAGUAAAACAAUGGUAGCACAUACUUAUAUGCGUCUCCUAAAUAAAUAUGCAGUACCAUUCAUAAAAGCAGUUCUUAAUUGUGACCAGGUUAAACUCUUUCAAGCCAUUUGCUUUCUGAGCUCAAAUAAGAAUAUCCACAGUAUACUAAUGCAACUGGGAAAUUAAAUCUCAGCAACAGCUGUGAUUGGGUAAUUGAUUGCAGAGUCAACUGAUCCACAGAUUAUUUAUUAAUACUAUAAAUGGAAAAAUGUGUAGGAAAGUUACCUUUUAAGGGAAGGUACCAAAAUGUGAAACAUAGUAUUGCUUACGUAAAGAAAACUGUAUGAAGAAAACCAGAUUGGAAAAAUAAUAUACAUACAAAGAGAUUUGUUAAUAUCAGUUUUGUAAUAAAUUACAUUUUGGUUUAAAAUACACACAUUUAUAUCUGUUUUUACCUGGUGAAAUGUGAUGUUAUUUAAUUCUAAAAUCUCUGCUACUUCUA